rnacentral:rRNA from 1 species
AUGAAAAAGCUUGCAUGUUGUCACGGGACACUCUUGUUGCUGCUUCUGUUUUCCUGCUCACUUGCUAUUGCUUCCGUCUCCAGGGGCGUGUUUGGUUUGGCAUCUCAUUUCGUCGAACACGUUGAGCGCGCCGGAGGUUCCUCUACUCAUCAUGUCCACCGCCAGCUCCCUGCGACCAUGGGUGCUCUCGGCACCUGGACUCCUCCGCACCAGCCCCAGCUGCCGCGUCCCGUUCGCCGCGUCCAGGAGCACGCCCGCGUGUGGCCGGGCUUCGACGAGCGCAGCGUCCGGUUCAUGUCGCGCCUGCUCGAGUGCUGGGGCCUCGAGUCCUCCCGCGCCGAGGUCGAGCUCAUCGUCUUCUCCGCCAUCGACAACCUGCUCGCCAAGACCAAGGUCGCCCCGGAGGACAUCGACAUCCUCGUUGUCAACUGCAGCCUCUUCGCCCCGACGGCGUCCUUCGCCGGCAUGAUCGUCAACCGCUACAACCUCCGCAAGGACGUGAGCAACGUGCACCUCGCCGGGCUCGUCUUCGUGGGAGUCGCCAGGAACCUGCUCCAGGUCGCGCCCAGGGGCUUGAACGUGCUGGUGGUGUCCAUGUUGACCAUCACGCCCAACUACUACAUAGGCAAGGAGUGCCAUGCUGGCCCCUGGCCAACUGCCUCUUCCGCAUGA